rnacentral:rRNA from 1 species
GACGAACGCUGGCGGCGUGCUUAACACAUGCAAGUCGAGCGGAAAGGCCCUGCUUUUGUUGCGUUCUCGAUUGCCGAACGGGUGAGUAACACGUGAGUAACCUGCCCUUAACUGUGUGAUAACUUCAGGAAACGGGGGCUAAUACCCGAUAGGAUCUCCUGCUGCAUGGGGUUCGUUGGAAAAUUUCGGCGGUGGGGGCUGGACUCGCGGGUUAUCAGCUUGUUGGUGGGGUAGUGGCUUACCAAGGCUUUGACGGGUAGCCGGCCUGAGAGGCUGACCGGGCACAGUGCGACUGCGAGACGGACCAGACUGCUAUGGGCGGCAGUAGUCGGGAAUCUUGCACAACGGGCGGACGCGUGAUGCAGAAACCUUGCGUGCGUGAUACCGGCUUUCGGGUUGUAAACAGAUUUCGAAUGUGCCGAAGCGGGAGUGACGGUAACGGGUAAAGAAGCCACGGCUAACUACGUG